rnacentral:rRNA from 1 species
UACGUAGGUGGCAAGCGUUGUCCGGAUUUAUUGGGUUUAAAGGGUGCGUAGGCGGCCCCUGUAAGUCAGUGCUGAAAUACCCCGGCUUAACCGGGGGGGGUGGCAUUGAUACUGCAGGGCUUGAGUACAGAUGAGGUAGGCGGAAUUGACGGUGUAGCGGUGAAAUGCAUAGAUAUCGUCAAGAACACCGAUAGCGAAGGCAGCUUACUGGGCUGUAACUGACGCUGAUGCACGAAAGUGUGGGGGAUCAAACAGG